rnacentral:rRNA from 1 species
AUCAAACUCCGAAUGCCAGAAAAAAUUAGUGGGGAGUCAGACUGCGAGGGCUAAGCUUCGUGGUCAAAAGGGAAACAGCCCAGACCUUCAUCUAAGGUCCCUAAACUAAGCUAAGUGUUUUUUAAGGAAGUGGGGUUUCUAAGAUAGUUAGGAGGUUAGCUCAGAAGCAGCUAUCCUUUAAAAAGUGCGUAAUAGCUUACUAACUAAGAGAUCCUGCACCGAAGAUUUAUCGGGGCUAAGCUUAGUACCGAAGAUAAGGAUGAGCACAUAAAUUUUUAUGUACUCGUGGUAGGGGAGCAUCCUCAUUGCUGUGAAGUUGGAUGGUAACGUCCAGUGGAGCGAUGAGGAGUGAGAAUGUUGGCAUGAGUAACCGCAAUCAGGGUGAAAGCCCCUGACACCGAAAGCCUAAGGUUUCCUUGGCAAUGGCGAUCAUCCAAGGGUUAGGCGGACCUAAGCCGAAGCCGAAAGGCGUAGGCGAUGGACAGCCGGUUAAUAUUCC